CGGUUGGGGCUAGUAUGGACACAACAUUCAAACUGGAUACAGCUCUGAAUUUGGAUUGUGAUUAAAUAGUUGACACAGCAUAGGUUUCUGACACAGAAUGAAUGUGGUCUAAUGAACUUAAAAUGUUUUUUUUUGCUUUUGAGCAAUUCAGUAUGCUGUUGAAUAUUAAUCCUUUGAUAUUUGAAGAAAUUUUCUUUUUCAUUUCUGAAAUCUGAAAUAAGAAAAAUUGAACCCCAUAAAUUUUUUUCACCUCCCCCUUUCCCUUAUUCCAAAAAUGAUCUCAAUUCAAAUUUCUU
rnacentral:lncRNA from 1 species